CCAGCCCGGCGCGGACCCUGCCCCGCAGCGCCUCCAGCCUCGAGGGCCGCAGCGUCCCGGCCACGCCCGUGCUGGGCCGGAGCCCCCGCGGGGCCCGCGAGCGCCCCGACGCCCCCCGCGGGCUGCCCCCCCGGCCCCUGGUCCGGCAGCCAGGACUCGCAGUUGGGGGGGGGGUCCGCACGCCGCGCACCCCCCGCCCUGCCCCCCGCCCCCGCCCCGCACCCGCCGCAGCAACAGCUCGGAGGCGCUGAUCGACUGGGGGGGCUGCGAGACCCCCCCGGGGCCGCGCGGGGGGGGAGGGGCGGGGGGCCCCGCGGCCCCUCCCCCCCCGCCGCCCCCCCCCGCCGCCCCCCCCCUCGGCGGAGCAGCGGCGCAGCCAGAAGUGGCUGGCGCUGGAGGGGCUGCGGGACUGGUACCUGCGGCACACCGGGACCCCCCCCCGCGCCCCCGGGGCCCCCCCCGGCCUGGGCCGCCCCCCCCGCCCCUCCCCCAGCGCCGCCGGGACCCUCCCCCCGCCGCCCCUCCCCCCCCCCGCGCUGCCGCACUCGCUCAGCUACGCCGGGGCCCUGGCGGCCAGGGACCCCCCCGGGACCACCCCCCCUCCCCCCCCUCCCCCCACCGGACCCGCAGCCCCCCGGGACCCUCGUGUGACCCCCCAACCCCCCCCCCAAACCCGGGGGGGGUCCCAGCUUCCAUUGGGGGUGGGGGAGGGGUCCCAAAUUCGGGGUGGGGGAGGGGGGGGUCCCCAAAUCCCCGGCCCCUCCCCCCGGCCGCUCCUGGCGAGCGCCGGCUUUGGGGAGGGGGCUUGGGGAGGGGGCUUGGGGAGGGGGGGCAAUA